GUAGGGAAUUUUCGUCAAUGGGGGGAACCCUGAACGAGCAAUGCCGCGUGUGUGAAGAAGGUCUUCGGAUCGUAAAGCACUGUUGUAAGUGAAGAAUGCCAUAUAGAGGAAAUGCUAUGUGGGUGACGGUAGCUUACCAGAAAGCCACGGCUAACUACGUGCCAGCAGCCGCGGUAAUACGUAGGUGGCAAGCGUUAUCCGGAAUCAUUGGGCGUAAAGGGUGCGUAGGUGGCACGAUAAGUCUGAAGUAAAAGGCAACAGCUCAACUGUUGUAUGCUUUGGAAACUGUCGAGCUAGAGUGCAGAAGAGGGCGAUGGAAUUCCAUGUGUAGCGGUAAAAUGCGUAGAUAUAUGGAGGAACACCAGUGGCGAAGGCGGUCGCCUGGUCUGUAACUGACACUGAUGCACGAAAGCGUGGGGAGCAAAUAGGA
rnacentral:rRNA from 1 species